rnacentral:rRNA from 1 species
GCAUAUCAAUAAGCGGAGGAAAAGAAACUAACAAGGAUUCCCCUAGUAACUGCGAGUGAAGCGGGAACAGCUCAAAUUUGAAAUCUCCGCGGUCCCCGCGGCGAAUUGUAGUUUCAAGAGGCGUUUUCGGUGGCGGCCUUGGCUCAAGUCCCUUGGAACAGGGUGUCAUAGAGGGUGAGAACCCCGUGAAGCCUUGGCUUGCCGCUAUGUGAUACGCUUUCAAAGAGUCGGGUUGUUUGGGAUUGCAGCCCUAAUCGGGAGGUAAAUUUCUUCUAAAGCUAAAUACUGGCGAGAGACCGAUAGCGAACAAGUACCGUGAGGGAAAGAUGAAAAGAACUUUGAAAAGAGAGUUAAACAGUACGUGAAAUUGUCAAAAGGGAAAGGCUUGAAACCAGUCAUGCUGUCUGGAAUUCAGCAGGCCACACCGGCCUGUCCACUUUCCAGAUGGCAGGUCAACGUCAGUUUUCUUCGUGUCGAAAGGCCUUGGGAAGGUAGCGAGCCUUCGGGCGCGUGUUAUAGCCCCUGGCUCUGGCAUGUGGGGAGACUGAGGACCGCAGGGCGCACUGGGUUAACCGGUCAGGCGAAUACCUUUUGGCGGACUGCACGCAGGCCGUCAGAAGGCAUAAACCUUUGCUGGCUACACCUCUCCGUCCCUUAGGACGUUGACGAAAUGGUUUUAAACCACCCGUCUU